rnacentral:rRNA from 1 species
CAGUCGCCGCGGGAAUACGUAGGUGGCAAGCGUUAUCCGGAAUUAUUGGGCGUAAAGCGCGCGUAGGCGGUUUUUUAAGUCUGAUGUGAAAGCCCCCGGCUCAACCGGGGAGGGUCAUUGGAAACUGUUAAACUUGAGUGCAGGAGAGAAAAGUGGAAUUCCUAGUGUAGCGGUGAAAUGCGUAGAGAUUAGGAGGAACACCAGUGGCGAAGGCGGCUUUUUGGCCUGUAACUGACACUGAGGCGCGAGAGCGUGGGGAGCAAACAGGAUUAGAUACCCCGGUAGUCCCUGUCUCUUAUAC